rnacentral:rRNA from 1 species
GAUGAACGCUGGCGGCGUGCCUAAUACAUGCAAGUCGAGCGAACGGACGAGAAGCUUGCUUCUCUGAUGUUAGCGGCGGACGGGUGAGUAACAAGUGGAUAACCUACCUAUAAGACUGGGAUAACUUCGGGAAACCGGAGCUAAUACCGGAUAAUAUUUUGAACCGCAUGGUUCAAAAGUGAAAGACGGUCUUGCUGUCACUUAUAGAUGGAUCCGCGCUGCAUUAGCUAGUUGGUAAGGUAACGGCUUACCAAGGCAACGAUGCAUAGCCGACCUGAGAGGGUGAUCGGCCACACUGGAACUGAGACACGGUCCAGACUCCUACGGGAGGCAGCAGUAGGGAAUCUUCCGCAAUGGGCGAAAGCCUGACGGAGCAACGCCGCGUAAGUGAUGAAGGUCUUCGGAUCGUAAAACUCUGUUAUUAGGGAAGAACAUAUGUGUAAGUAACUGUGCACAUCUUGACGGUACCUAAUCAGAAAGCCACGGCUAACUACGUG